AAUCUAAAUCAGAACCCACACCUGUGAAUUAUAUGGUUGGCCCCCCAGGAUAUAUCAGCUUGUGUGGCAGCACGUGUUGUUGCUGUGUCACAAGUUCUUGAGGUGAUGGUUGAAUGGUGUGGCACCCCCUGCUGCGCAUUUCACGUACAGUAAGAUGUGGUUGUGGGGAGCUGGCACGCAACAAAUUCAAGCAUCAGGCACUGGCCUCUCUGCUAUGUAGUACCUGUACUGCAUACACAGCAGAGUGUGCAGUGUUGGCCUUUUUAUCUAUCCAACCAACCACUCAACCAAAUCAAGAAUAACAAUGCAAGGAGGGAUCAGCUCAGAGCUGUGUCUCUCAUGAACCAAGACAACUCUCAACAACGGAUAUCUUGGCUCUCAGAUCGAUGAAGAACGCAGCGAAAUGCGAUACGUAGUGUGAAUUGCAGAAAUACGUGAAUCAUCGAAUCUUUGAACGCAAAUUGCGCUCCAGGCUUCGGCCAAGAGCAUGUCUGCCUCAGCGUCGGGUUAAAGCUCAUCGCCGUACAUGCACAUGUGUGUACGGCGUUGGACCUGGUUUUCUCGGCACAUACAGAUCUUUUAUAUGUUUAAUAAUAACGUAUAACUGAGGGGUGCCGGGUGAACUGAAGUAUGCAGAUGCUGGACCGUGGACCAUAUACUAUCGGGCCUCUACUGGGUAGGCAAAAUCAACCUUUGUUACUACUGUGUUGUUUGCUGUGAUGCUUUAGUAGAUGGCUUUGGGGCCUGUGUUUGGCAAAAAAGCAGGAGUAUGCGACUCUCGACACGCGUGUGCUGUACUUUGUGCAGUACAAACCAUAUGUGUAUGUGUUGUUGUACUUUUUAUUUUUCCUCGACCUGAGCUCAGGCAAGA
rnacentral:sRNA from 1 species